GGCUGCAAGAGGAAAUGGAAAUCAGAUCUCUGACGAAGGAGGGGUGGAGGAUCCACGUAGGAUAGGUUGAUGUCGAUCAAGGAUCGUGACAUCUCUUCCAUAGAGAAAGGGACCUGAAGAUUGCAGAAGUUAACCCACAAACAUUGGUGAUCUCUUCUUUCAACCAUUAAUCAGCCCAAAGCAGAGAGGAAAGAAAAUUCAUGCUCACAUGGUUCUCAGACAUUAUUCCCAAGGUAUGAUCCAGGCUAUUGACAAUAUUUUGCCAGUGUAUGUUUGAUGCUUGCUGUUUUGCAACUAUAUUUGAAUGGAUAUUUUUGGAUGACCCUCUUAUUGAUCUGGCCCUUGUGGAUCUGGGUGCCUACAAAUGGCAUUUUUGAAGGUAUUGUUAUGGUCAGGUGCAAGCUCUGUUGUUUUUUUUAAAACUGUGAAAUUCUUCUUCAUAUAACGCUUAUGUAAAAUGCUUACCUGUAUGCACAAGUUCAAAAAUGGACUAAUCUCUUUCUUUAAGCUAUCACGAAUCAUCCCAUAUAUUUUUUCAAGAUAUGCAGUUAAAUGUUGCUUAAACAGUAAGGCAGGGUACUUGGGUUCCACUUUUGAGUGCGUGUUUGGCUUUCCCACCAUUCCACUGUACCCACUUGAAACUCCCAUAGGAAAUGAAGAUGAGCGGAGACCCUGAUAAUGUAGUUUUAGUAUUUCUCUCACAUGCAUCUUUAGAUGUCAAAAAUUUUACUUGAAAGAGCUUACUUGUGCCAUUCUACCGAACAAAGUGGUGGGUGAAUUUCGGCUACGAAAUGAAGUCACAUUAGGUGUAUUGCUUGCCUUGAGUGUACUUUGUACAAGGAACAGAAGGGUUGAAGUUGUCGAGAGCCAAUAUGCUAGAUUACUGAUGCUUUCCUGACUCUUUCAGGGCAGAAUAAGGCAAAUUUAAUUCACAUGUUGAAUUGAAUUGAUCUCUUGCAAGGAUUUGCACAACUAGUCACCAACUGAUCAGAUUUGAAAUGGCAUAAGAAUACUACCUCUAUAGAUGAACGGAUUGUGUGGAUAAUCCUAUCAAAUAUAUUUGUCUUCUCUGCUUCAAAGGAUCUCCACUGAAGAAGUGCUUUGUACACAAUACAGGCAGCAACAGGCCUGUUCUUGUCAAAUCGCUUGUCUUCCAUGAGACACUUUAUUAGUACAUCAUGGUUUUCCUGGUUAUUAGGAAAGAAAAAGAAAUGAAUAUGUACUUGACAGUUAUUAGACAUUUCAAACAAACCAAUCUUAUUGGACUGAAUCAUUUGCUUUCUUUAAUCUUUCAACCAUAUACCUGUUGCCUGUCUGUCAGGGAUCGUUGUUUAGUUAGGAUUGGGGCAAAAGGCACCAACUCCUGCAAACAAUAUUCAUUAUUUAAGGCAUAAAUAACAUAUAUCUAGUUAUCUAUUGAUCACUGUUCUUUUCUGGAAGAAUAAUUGAUAAAGAAAUUUCACUAUACUUUUGUUGUUUGGAGCUCUUCUUCCAUUUUAUGUCCAUUAUCAAAACUCUGCACCACUAUAGAAGGUUAGAGACAAAUACAAUAGCAAUGUCAUCAAAAAGGGUCAUUCAAACCUAAUGCACCUUCACUUGUGGUGGAACCCUUUCAAGAGCGGCUACUUGCUCUAUGCUUGUUGGCUGGUUGCGGAGAACCUCAUUCUCUGACUCUAAAUUUGCAAUCUUAUCCUUGAGGCUGGACAGAAAGGGCAGAUCAUUUGUAUUUGUGUGAUGAUAAUUUUUCUUCUUGACAAAAAACCUAAUAACCUUUCAGCUCUGGUUUACAGCUUUGUUCCAUAAGUUCAUGUUACCAAAUGGUAAUUUAUACCACCAACUCAGUCCAAUCCUGUGGGACUGUUGAUUAAAAAAAUAUAGUUUUGCUUUAUUUUAGUUUGUUGCUUUUAUCUAUGGACAAUACUGCCACCAGUUCAUAGCUAGCUGUCAUGUGCUUACUAUAAUGAAAGAGUGUUUUUCCGUAGCUUUCCUACAAAAAAAAAAUGACUUCAUGCAUUUAAUUUUUCCUCUCUUUUUCAACACACAUAUGAAUUAACUCAAAUCUGUUGAUUUUCUAGCCAGGUGAAAUAUGUUUUUUAUUUACUUUUCCCUACAUUGUUUUUUAACUUUUCCCUAGUUCUUACAUUUUCAUUUCUUCAAAGAGGUCCUCAUUUGUUGAUGCAACCAAAGCCUGCUGCCGUAGAACCUGGUUCUCUGCUUCGAGGUUGGACAAGUUCAAUUCUAAUCUGAGGUAUGGCCCACAGUGCAAUAUGGUGUAUAUGGUAUUUAAAUUUUAAGUAGCUGAGUGUAGGUCAUUCACUUUGUAGUGGGUGAUAUCUUUCAAUAAACUGAGAUGUUUACUAUAUUGCAUGAGAGAUGAAAUACAUACCAGGCUUCAUCAAGAAGUGCAAUUAUGCCUCCUGGUUUCUGCAUGAGAAGACAUGAUUUUCCCUUAAUUCUUAAUAAUAGCCAAGUGAUACGGUCCUUGAGACAAAAAUAGUUGGUACCUUCUCAAUCAGAUCUAAAACAUCUUGGUUAUCUAUGAAUUCUACAUAGCUCCAGUUGAUUUCCUCUCGUUUGUACUCUUCUUGCUCCAUCUUAAAUACAUGCUGCAGGAAAAGAUGUUUUUUUUCUUUGUUAACUGCAUACAAAAAAUAUUGCAGUACAUAGAGUGUGAACUAUAUAUAAAAAGAUGUUUUUUUUUUUUUCAAUUUUUAAAAUUUUAUUUAAGCAUAUGUAAAAGUAUAGCAGUAUAUAGGGACACUGUAAACUGUAUCUGUAGAUCUCAUUCUUACCUGAUUAAAAUGCUGUUGCAACUUCUCAUUUGUCAGGUUGAUACAUAGCUGCUCAAAACUACCAGAUAAAGAAUAAAUUAUUAGUCUUCGGGUUUAGAGGUAAAAAUUGUUUACUUGUUCAGACUAUCUGAUGUACUAUGAUGUACCUGUUGAUCUUGAAGCUCUCAAAGCCAUAAAUAUCAAGAACUCCAAUUAUGCUUGUUGCAUUGGGAUCCUGGCCGAUAGAACUGUUUAUCUUAUCGACAAUCCUGCACCAAUUCAUAAUAAUGUAUACAUUGAAAUCAGGUUAGGGGUAGAAAAUGCACUCAGAAACCUAGAGGGCCUUGGAUAUAGAGAAGGUCUGAAAAAUUCAUGGACUUCUGGUACAUUUACUGGUAUCAUGUUCCCAAGCCACAGCAACUCAACUCUAUUGGAAGUUGGCUUAACUAGGCUUAAGUAGGCAAAUAUUCCAAAUUCUCUCUCUUCAGUUUCUUUGAUAAGUAACAUUUUUGAUAAGAAGGGUGCAAUAUGGGAAGUAGAUUUCAAACAAUAGUGGAUAGAAUUUUAGGAGAUGCAUUGGAAAUAUUAAGGCUUUGACCAUCUCCAGAAAGUGAUCAUUUUUCACUCUACAAAGUUUUUAUUUCUUAAAUUGAAAAAGGACGACUCUUGGUCCUUUAGGAAUCACUCUGAAAUCACCAGUUUUCUUUGCUCAAGAUUACAUAUGUACUUUCCAAAGCUUAAAUGCUCUCUAAAGGAAAAAUGACACUUCCCUACCUUAAGGUUUACCUUGAUCACACUUUGCCUCUUGUGAUUUCAAAGCAUGCAUGCAGCUCUAUCUUAGUGCCAUCUCCUGGGAGAUGAUAACAUUAAGAAUUCUUAUUGAAGGGGUUAGUUUGGUUAGCUUACCAAUCAAAUAGUCUGGAGUAUACUGUCUUUGCCAAGGCAUCACGACUAAAGACAGCUAAAUCUGGAUCCAGUGGUUUUGUGAUGUUUCCAUCAGGGGUUACUAUGACACGCUGGCACAGUGAGUCCUCCAAUGCCUUCUCAUCACACCUGAAUAGAAGCAUAUUGCGAGACAUAAUGAAUACAUAAUUAAAAGCUAGCAAUGAAAACUCCUUUAGGUGGGCUAACUAGAUUAGAGUUCAAACAUGAGUAGCUCUGCAGCUGUUCGAAGAUGGUAAAGUGCUUUCUCAUCCUUCAGUUUGGAAGAAUCGGCUUCCUUCCCUUUGAUGAACCCAAUGUUUCCGAGAUGCAGAAUUGCAGCUACCACACGGAAUAUGGCAUCCUACAAAAGGACAAUCUCACUAUGGUAAUUUUAAUUGUGGAUAAUGGGUCUGCAAUUAAUUUUCUUGUUUCUUAAUGAUGCCACAGGGUCAAUACCUGCUCAUCUUGACUGAUCCCUACAACAUCCAUGGCAUUUCUGGUUUCCAGAUACUCUCUUGCAUCAUUUACAUUUGCAACUUCAUAACAGUUAGUUUGGUUUAGAUAGUGGAAUGAUCUUGGGUCCCCUAACUUGAAUUUCUUGACAUCCUGAAAGGGAAUACUUCAGUCAGCUAGCUGUCUGUAUACUUGAUAGUAUAUAAGUUGGUGGUGUGUGAGAUGAAAUUUGAAUGCAUGAAGUCACCUCUGGUGGUGCUGCACAGAGCAUGUAAAAGCAAUGAUAGUUCCUUUCUGGGUCAGAGACUUGGCAAACACGUGACCUUUCGAGAAGAUAUGUACGAACUGCAGCCCCAGAGAUUUUCCCAUGCUUAUCAAAUUGGAUCUCGACAAAUUUACCAAAACGACUGAAGCAGCCAUGCAGUCAUGUGAACUUUCCUGUAAGUCCAACAAAAAAAGAAAGAGAGAAAAUAGAAAGGAUAUCUAGUUCACCUGGAAUUGUUGUUUUUCACAGUUUUGGCAUUCCCAAAUGCUUCCAAGACUGGGUUGGACUGAAGAAAUAGAAACAUAACAUUUGAUUGAAUCCAUAGAAUCACAUGAUAUAAAUGAAGUUAUUUUAACAUACCUCCAAAACUUGUUGUUCUACUGUUCUUCCCUCAGUACCUGAUCUGCCCCCCAUGAAUGCAAGGUAUCUCAUGAGCAUUUUUGUUGUCUCUGUUUUACCAGCUCCACUCUCUCCACUAACCAAUAUGGAUUGGCUUUUCUGUUCAUUUAUCAUUGCCCUGGUAUAUGAAAUUAAUAAACUAGCAUUAUUUAAUUGGAUUAUGCAUGCUAGAUGACAUGAUUUUCUCUUUAUCCAAUUGUUUAUGCAUCAUAGAAGUACCUGUAGCAAGUAUCUGCAACAGCAAAGAGAUGUGGACUAAGCUCUCCAAAAGCAGCGCCUUUGUAUUGCCCCAUCAUGUGGAUGUCAUACAAGUGUGGCAGUCUUUGAAAGGGAUUCACCGCUAUUAGAAUGUUCCCCGUAUGUAACUCACAUAUAUCUCAUUGAGAGCAAAGCGAGAAGCAAGGUUGUGUAGGACUCCUGGUUCAUGGAGGUAAGCUAAUUUGGUCAUGUCAUCGACCCCAGCAGGCGGUGCUUCUGUGUCUUUUGGGUAUAUGUUUGAAAUAUCUGCAACUAUCUGAUUGAUGAAGAAGCUAACUUUCAGCCUUUUUGUUUUCUGUUUUUCUUUUUUCUUUUGCUAGUAUUUUGAGAUUAGAGCAAAACUAUCAUAAACAUAGGAGUCAAUUUGAAUGCAUCAUAGUUUUCCUCAUAUAAACACACAUGGAUCUCUAUUUUUUCAUAAUUUUGGAAACAGAAAUCAGUGUAGGUUAGAAGUGAAUGACUUCUUGUCUCAUUAGACAAAACAAGGAUUAUCAUCGUCAACUACAGUUCUUCAUUUUUCUCUGAAGGAAAACCUAACAUUUUCAGUUUUUUGUCCUAUCAGAACUGUGAUUUCCAUUUCCAAAAUUCAAAAAAAUAGUAUUAUCCCCUUCAAACAAGAUAUUUGCAGUCAUCUAAUUCUCUUCUAUAUGUUGACUAGGUGUCAGUUCAUUAGUUCUGUAUUCAAACUCUCCACUAUCUAUUGGGCAUGCUAAUUAAUAACUCCAAUUGGGGUGUUAACCUGUGGUGUCACGUACACACACGACUUCUGAUGAUAUGUCUAACUAGAUAGCAUUCAUUAUGUUUUAAUUGAGUAAAAUUUGUCCUUUGGAUUCAAAAUUUUCUUUCCAUUUUGUUUACUGUUAAUGUUGUGAUAUAUAUUUUCAAAUGCAUGUGAUAUUCUUAUCUGCAAUAUGAACCAAAUGAAACAUAUUCAUUGCUAGAUCAUAUAUCCAGAUCCUUUCCAAUAUUAUUGGAUGUAAUAUUAGCUUACAGUUUUCCCAUCUGUAGUAACUAUUGUUGCAUUUCUGCCUUCAAUUCCUAUCACCUCUCCAUCAAUCCAUGCCGCAUCAGGAUCCUCAGCCCACGCAUGUGACCCAACUAUGAUGUUUACAGGAGUUCCCUUGAUCAUCCAAAAAAACAAAAAUAAAAUAAAAAAUGAAUAAAGAUAAUGAAUGUUCUUGCAGACUGACCAGAAGCGGAUAAAAAAUGAACGUAAAUCCAUGAUGAGGAAGCUUACCAUAACUUCCAAUCUAUAAGAUCAUCAAAACCAGAAUGGAAACGAGCAUAAAAUGAGUUGAAAAUCUAUAUGAUCUUCAACAUCAGAAUAGAAAUGGAGAAAUGCAGAUGGGGAGAGGGAGGGAGGAACGGGGAUAGAGAGAGAAAGAGAGAGAUGUGUGGUAUUCUUAAGGAAUGCUCGGGCGGUGGAUUUGCUGAAAUUGAAAGUAGAAAAGAAUGUUGAAAAAGAAUGUUUCAAAGGAAUCGGAAAGCAGAGGAAAUGCAGGUGCUGGCUACUCAAAAAGCAAAAGGAAGAGCAGCCAGCCCUCACGUCUCUCCCCCACACUGUCAAACUUUUUUUGCUCAUUCCACAUAGGAUGCUGACUUGGCACCAGAAGAACCCCCCUUAAGUCGGUCACUUGUGUGGGUCAAUUGCUUCAGCCACAAGGAGAAUCCCCUCCGAGCCAGUUGAUACAGAGUAUGGUUUUUUAUUUUUAUGCUUAUUGGUGGCUGUGGACCCAUUGCUUUGCCAUGGUCAGGUCAUUUUGUUCCCAAUUAUAAUUAUGGUGUCCAUUAGCAAGCACAAUGGUAGUAGUAACUUUAGUUGGAUUAGUUUUAAAAUUGAAAAGCAAGCCUGUUUUGAACAGUUGUUAGGCUAGCUUUCUCUUAAAUCAAUAGAAUUAAAGAUGGCUAGUCAUCAUCUGCUAUGUGAAAUGACUUAAAAAAGGAAUGUCCCAACUGAAUGACUAUGUUCAGCGUGACUAAACUUUGCUUUUGUUGUAUUAAAUUGGGAUGGGCGAGAAAUGAUAUGGCUGAAAAGCAAUGUUGAAAUGCUACCGACGAUCAUUGAACAUGUUACCAUUUUGUGGACGGUGAAGUUUGAGUCCCACCUGUGGCAUCACAGCGAUGUGGAGCACACAUUCUAGUUUGGUAGCUUUUAAAAUCCUUGGCCGACUAGUGCUGUGCUGUGGGGUGGUCUGGCUUUUUGGACGGUGGAGACGAAAAAUCUUUCCUCAGAUGCCGGUGCGGUUGGCCGUUGUGGGACCAGUAAAAGCCCUCUCUUGCUGGCUUUCCAACCAAGCUCUCUGACCUUUUCCUUUUGCUUGUUAUUUUUAAAUUGAAUCGAUUAUUGAUAAUCAUUACUAUUCUAUUCAUGCUUAUUUAUUAAGGCAGAAGGGAGGGAAAUAACCUGCACUGCAUGUGGCCAUUAAACAUAAAUCCAUGUUGCCUCUGAACACAUUUUGACACCGUGGCUGAGCUCAUAUAUAAGUUGCCUCUCUGCUGCUGCCGAUGAGUUAUGCGCUACCCUCUGUCAUGUUCCCACUGGCAAAUUCUGAGGUCAUCUGUACUAGGCGAAGCAGGACUAUGGUCAGGCCUUUUCCCCUUUUUAUUUCCAUUCUUUACUUUUGGACAUGGUAAAACUUCCUCCUUUUAAAGCUAUUUGUGGAUGUAAACCAUAGAUAUGUUUAUUUGUAUCCACAAUUCCUUUUUCUUCUUAGUUAUGGUUUAGUUUUUGAUAGACUCGAGUCUAUGUUUGGGUCAAGGUUGGUAAUUCUCAGUUGAUGACGAUGCAAAUUUGAUUGUGGAGGUACAUGACGGAUUAUUCUGUUGAGAUCAGAAAAGACACGGCUGCAAAUGCAUAGAGCAAAAUUGUGUGCAAGGUACUGCGCAUUUGCACGAAGAUUGUUCCAACAAUACUUGCUCGCAUGCAAAACAUGUACAAGAAAACCUAGAGAAAAAGUAGAGGCCAUUUUGUGAAUUCUUGCUAGCAAACAAACAUACGCAAAGGACUUGCGAAUAUCUGUAAAAAGGUCCAUGGAGCAAAUUUUAGUUAAUUAAUAAGAUUUUAGCUGAUGCUAUUAUGUUUGUGUUGUUAUAGAGUGUAGCCAUAAAUAGAGUUUCAUCACCCCGUUUGUAAUUAAUUAUGUGAAGAACUCAUGCGUAAUUGAGAGAAUUCUAGUUUUUGAAAGGAUAA